rnacentral:rRNA from 1 species
ACGGAUGUAGCAAUACAUCAGUGGCAGACGGGUGAGUAACACGUGGGAACCUUCCUCGUUGUACGGGACAACUCAGGGAAACUUGAGCUAAUACCGUAUACGUCCGAGAGGAGAAAGAUUUAUCGCAAUGAGACGGGCCCGCGUCGGAUUAGCUAGUUGGUAGGGUAACGGCCUACCAAGGCGACGAUCCGUAGCUGAUCUGAGAGGAUGAUCAGCCACACUGGGACUGAGACACGGCCCAGACUCCUACGGGAGGCAGCAGUGGGGAAUCUUGGACAAUGGGCGCAAGCCUGAUCCAGCCAUGCCGCGUGAGUGAAGAAGGCCUUAGGGUUGUAAAGCUCUUUUGCCAGGGACGAUAAUGACGGUACCUGGAGAAUAAGCCCCGGCAAACUUCGUGCCAGCAGCCGCGGUAAUACGAAGGGGGCUAGCGUUGUUCGGAUUUACUGGGCGUAAAGCGCACGUAGGCGGGUCGUUAAGUCAGGGGUGAAAUCCCGGAGCUCAACUCCGGAACUGCCUUUGAUACUGGCGACCUUGAGGCUGGAAGAGGUUAGUGGAAUUCCAGUGUAGAGGUGAAAUUCGUAGAUAUUGGGAAGAACACCAGUGGC